GAUUAAUUAGUUUAUUAUAAAACGUUAGCCUUGAAAGCUUAAAAAGAACAUAAAAUUUUUAUUAAUCU
rnacentral:tRNA from 1 species